AUUGAACGCUGGCUGCAGGCCUAACACAUUCAAGUCGAGCGAGCGGCGGACGGGUGAGUAAUGCCUGGGCAUUGCCCAGUAGAGGGGGAUAACAGUUGGAAACGACUGCUAAUACCGCAUAAGAGUGGCUUGCCUUGGUGGGAUUAGCUAGUUGGUGAGGUAAUUGCUCACAAAGGCGACGCUCCCUAGCUGGUUUGAGAGGAUGAUCAGCCACACUGGAACUGAGACACGGUCCAGACUCCUACGGGAGGCAGCAGUGGGGAAUAUUGCACAAUGGGGGAAACCCUGAUGCAGCCAUGCCGCGUGUGUGAAGAAGGCCUUCGGGUUGUAAAGCACUUUCAGCGAGGAGGCGUUACUCGCAGAAGAAGCACCGGCUAACUCCGUGCCAGCAGCCGCGGUAAUAC
rnacentral:rRNA from 1 species